ACAACUCUUGGAGAAUGCUCAGAAAUUAGCAGGACAUAUAAUUGUCUCGCCGUUGUGGAACUGAGUGUUUUACCCAUCUUUGGUCUCUUCACCAGUGGUUAAUGCGUCUGACCAAUGACUUGGGCAUGUCCUUCCUCGACAAUUUUGACUCCUUCUGGAAUAGGCCUGGCUACUUUGUGGAAGAUGGAAUUCACCUGGGUGAAAAUGGCUCCCGCCUGUUGUCAUCAAACACUGGAAAGGUUAUUGGUCAACUAAAUUGAUAGCAGCAGCAGUAGUAGCAGGGGUGUGAGAAGAAGGGGUUAUUAAAGAGCUGCAGACUCAUUCCUUGACACAUCACUCGCAAAGGCAUUGCAAAUGAUUGAAGACAUAUCUCUGGAGAACGUCAUGCACCAAGUCACCAGCCUGUCCCAGAGGGUCCUGGCACCUAUUGCUGAUUUCAGGAUGAACUCUCGCCAAAACUCCGGGAGGAAUUCGAUCACCAACUCAAUGAGUUUGUGCAUGACUUCAAGAAGAGGACAUGGACCAAAUGACUGGGACCACAGUGAAAUGAACAACAUGUUCUGUUAUUGUGCAGACAUCUCAGGAGUCAGACACUAGACACUUUCAUUUUAUUCCAUAGACACUUUUGUUAUCUACAUGUCUGUUCAUAACAGACACUGUUUUACUAUUGUUCCAAAAUAUUUAUAUUCAGAAGCAUUUGUAACUACACUGACACAUUUUAUUCCAUAGACGCUUGUUUACAAGUCUGUUCUCGGCAAUUGCUUUUGUAUUGUGGUUUACUUUCAGAAUCAAGAAUAAAGGUUUAUUAAUGUGCUGAAAAGCUCUGUUGGCAUAUAUUUGAGGUGUUUCAAUGCAUUCUGUAUGACAAUUAAGU